GUCAGAACGAAAAAUACACAAACUACACUGUGAUACAAUCGUACAAAAGAAAACGGCACAGUAUUAAACUUGAUUCUAUCAGCGAAUUCUUUUCCAUCCUUCCAUAGAGAAAUCGUCAUCGCUAAAGAUGAAAAAGUUAGUAUGAGUAUACAUCAAAUGCUUUGGAUGUUGGACAUCGAGUAUUGGCCAGGAUAUGCCCACCGAGGUAGUGAUCAACAUGAUACUUGUAUAGCACGAAUUCCUUGUGCCUCCCAGUCUUGAUCAGCUUAUUCCACUGGAGUGAGUUAAUGAUUCCU
rnacentral:lncRNA from 1 species